UUAAUUAAUUAUAUUAUCUCAAAAAUGGUCAAGUUUCCUUCGUUUUUGCUGUGCUCGGCUCUUGCUGCUUUUGCUCUGUUCUUAGUUGUGGAUGCACGUUUAUUAGGGUGCAAAGGUGGCUUGGACUGUUUGAACCCUGAGAUGGCUUCUUCACCAAAGUAUAAAGAUGAGAAGGUCUCUGCUGUGCCGCCGGAGCUUGCUAAGGGUGUGAAGCCGUCGGAGGGAGGGAGGAGUGC